UACAGAGGUCUCAAGCGUUGUUCGGAUUCAUUGGGCGUAAAGGGUGCGUAGGCCGCGCGGUAAGUCGGGUGUGAAAUCUCGGAGCUUAACUCCGAAACUGCAUUCGAUACUGCCGUGCUUGAGGACUGGAGAGGAGACUGGAAUUUACGGUGUAGCGGUGAAAUGCGUAGAUAUCGUAAGGAAGACCAGUGGCGAAGGCGGGUCUCUGGACAGUUCCUGACGCUGAGGCACGAAGGCCAGGGGAGCAAACGGGG
rnacentral:rRNA from 1 species